rnacentral:snRNA from 1 species
GUGUUUGCUUUGGCAGCACAUAUACUAAAAAAAAAUCAGAAAAAUACAGAGAAAAUUAGCAUGACUCCGGUGCAAGGAUGAUAUGAAAUUUGUAAAGCAUUCCUUUUU